GAUGAACGCUAGCGGCAGGCCUAACACAUGCAAGUCGAGGGGUAGCAGGGUUAAGCUUGCUUAAUUGCUGACGACCGGCGCACGGGUGCGUAACGCGUAUGCAACCUACCUUAUACUGGGGUAUAGCCCGGAGAAAUUCGGAUUAAUCCCCCAUAGUACUAAUGAAUCGCAUGGUUUAUUAGCUAAAGCAUUGCGGUAUAAGAUGGGCAUGCGUCCUAUUAGCUAGAUGGUGAGGUAACGGCUCACCAUGGCUACGAUAGGUAGGGGGCCUGAGAGGGUGGUCCCCCACACUGGUACUGAGACACGGACCAGACUCCUACGGGAGGCAGCAGUGAGGAAUAUUGGUCAAUGGGCGCAAGCCUGAACCAGCCAUGCCGCGUGCAGGAAGAAUGCCCUAUGGGUUGUAAACUGCUUUUAUUUGGGAAUAAACCUCUUUACGUGUAGAGAGCUGAAGGUACCAAAUGAAUAAGCACCGGCUAACUCCGUGCCAGCAGCCGCGGUAA
rnacentral:rRNA from 1 species